UACGUAGGAUGCAAGCGUUGUUCGGAAUUACUGGGCGUAAAGAGUACGUAGGCGGUUUGAUAAGUCUGAUAUUAAAUACAGAAGCUUAACUUCUGAACUGUAUCGGAAACUGUCAGACUAGAGGACAAUAGAGGAAGUGGGAAUUCUCAGUGUAGCGGUGAAAUGCGUAGAUAUUGGGAAGAACACCCGUGGCGAAGGCGGUUCUCUGGGACGGUACUGACGCUGAGACGCGAAAGCGUGGGGAGCGAACAGG
rnacentral:rRNA from 1 species